CCUACGGGUGGCUGCAGUGGGGAAUAUUGCACAAUGGGCGCAAGCCUGAUGCAGCCAUGCCGCGUGUGUGAAGAAGGCCUUCGGGUUGUAAAGCACUUUCAGCGGGGAGGAAGGCGGUGAGGUUAAUAACCUCAUCGAUUGACGUUACCCGCAGAAGGAGCACCGGCUAACUCCGUGCCAGCAGCCGCGGUAAUACGGAGGGUGCAAGCGUUAAUCGGAAUUACUGGGCGUAAAGCGCACGCAGGCGGUCUGUCAAGUCGGAUGUGAAAUCCCCGGGCUCAACCUGGGAACUGCAUUCGAAACUGGCAGGCUAGAGUCUUGUAGAGGGGGGUAGAAUUCCAGGUGUAGCGGUGAAAUGCGUAGAGAUCUGGAGGAAUACCGGUGGCGAAGGCGGCCCCCUGGACAAAGACUGACGCUCAGGUGCGAAAGCGUGGGGAGCAAACAGGAUUAGAUACCCAGUAGUC
rnacentral:rRNA from 1 species